GCUCUUGGGAAUUUAAAGGCAGCUUCUUAAACGGUUUCUUUAUUCAUCAUAAAAUUUACUUAUGUCAAGCUUUGAUGCACGUGUGGGUUCAGCAGAGUGCUGAGGCAUUCAAAUUCUAACAAUACGUUAUUUCAAUAGUUUUCGUUUUUUUGGGACAUCACAUAAUCAAUUAUUUACAGUCGAUCAAUACACCCAAAAUCCUGAUAAUAAAGGGUACCUAGCUCUCUAAAUAAAGCCUAUUUGUUCAUCAAUGAUUUUAUUUUUCAGCCUAGAUGUGAACUCGAUCAGAAAUGUGCAGGGCCUGGUAGUACAUGUCAUUGUGAUAAACUUCCUCUUAGUUGUUUCGGUUUUCAGACAGUGGUGGGAACGUUUGUUUAUAAGUGUACUCAAGUAACACUAGAUACACCUCGCAUUGGCUAUACCAAGAACAAGCCUACAAAAAAACUUACGUUUUGGUGACAUUGUUGGUCUCAUCUGGUUUCAUGCAUGUAAAACAUCACAGGACAUGAUCAGUUCAGCCGUUCAGGAAAUAUUUCCACUUUUGAAGGUAUUUUUAUCGGCAAACUGCACGUAUCAUUCUUCAGUCCU
rnacentral:lncRNA from 1 species